GAUGAACGCUGGCGGCGUGCUUAACACAUGCAAGUCGAACGGGGAUUAUUUCAUUGAAGCUUCGGCAGAUUUGGCUUAAUCCUAGUGGCGGACGGGUGAGUAACGCGUGGGUAACCUGCCUUGUACAGGGGGAUAACAGUCAGAAAUGACUGCUAAUACCGCAUAAGCGCACAGGACCGCAUGGUCCGGUGUGAAAAACUCCGGUGGUAUAAGAUGGACCCGCGUUGGAUUAGCUAGUUGGCAGGGUAACGGCCUACCAAGGCGACGAUCCAUAGCCGGCCUGAGAGGGCGAACGGCCACAUUGGGACUGAGACACGGCCCAGACUCCUACGGGAGGCAGCAGUGGGGAAUAUUGCACAAUGGGGGAAACCCUGAUGCAGCGACGCCGCGUGAAGGAAGAAGUAUCUCGGUAUGUAAACUUCUAUCAGCAGGGAAGAAUUAGGACGGUACCUGACUAAGAAGCCCC
rnacentral:rRNA from 1 species